rnacentral:rRNA from 1 species
AACGAACGCUGGCGGCAUGCCUAACACAUGCAAGUCGAACGAGACCUUCGGGUCUAGUGGCGCACGGGUGCGUAACGCGUGGGAACCUGCCCUUAGGUUCGGAAUAACUCCCCGAAAGGGGUGCUAAUACCGGAUAAUGUCUUCGGACCAAAGAUUUAUCGCCUUUGGAUGGGCCCGCGUUGGAUUAGCUAGUUGGUAGGGUAAAAGCCUACCAAGGCGACGAUCCAUAGCUGGUCUGAGAGGAUGAUCAGCCACACUGGGACUGAGACACGGCCCAGACUCCUACGGGAGGCAGCAGUGGGGAAUAUUGGACAAUGGGCGAAAGCCUGAUCCAGCAAUGCCGCGUGAGUGAUGAAGUCCUUAGAGUUGUAAAGCUCUUUUACCCGGGAUGAUAAUGACAGUACCGGGAGAAUAAGCUCCGGCUAACUCCGUG